AUUGAACGCUGGCGGCAGGCCUAACACAUGCCAGUCGAGCGGAUGAAGGGAGCUUGCUCCUGGAUUCAGCGGCGGACGGGUGAGUAAUGCCUAGGAAUCUGCCUGGUAGUGGGGGAUAACGUCCGGAAACGGGCGCUAAUACCGCAUACGUCCUGAGGGAGAAAGUGGGGGAUCUUCGGACCUCACGCUAUCAGAUGAGCCUAGGUCGGAUUAGCUAGUUGGUGGGGUAAAGGCCUACCAAGGCGACGAUCCGUAACUGGUCUGAGAGGAUGAUCAGUCACACUGGAACUGAGACACGGUCCAGACUCCUACGGGAGGCAGCAGUGGGGAAUAUUGGACAAUGGGCGAAAGCCUGAUCCAGCCAUGCCGCGUGUGUGAAGAAGGUCUUCGGAUUGUAAAGCACUUUAAGUUGGGAGGAAGGGCAGUAAGUUAAUACCUUGUUGUUUUGACGUUACCAACAGAAUAAGCACCGGCUAACUUCGUG
rnacentral:rRNA from 1 species